rnacentral:rRNA from 1 species
GAUGAACGCUGGCGGCGUGCCUAAUACAUGCAAGUCGAGCGAACGGACGAGAAGCUUGCUUCUCUGAUGUUAGCGGCGGACGGGUGAGUAACACGUGGAUAACCUACCUAUAAGACUGGGAUAACUUCGGGAAACCGGAGCUAAUACCAGAUAAUAUUUUGAACCGCAUGGUUCAAAAGUGAAAGACGGUCUUGCUGUCACUUAUAGAUGGAUCCGCGCUGCAUUAGCUAGUUGGUAAGGUAACGGCUUACCAAGGCAACGAUGCAUAGCCGACCUGAGAGGGUGAUCGGCCACACUGGAACUGAGACACGGUCCAGACUCCUACGGGAGGCAGCAGUAGGGAAUCUUCCGCAAUGGGCGAAAGCCUGACGGAGCAACGCCGCGUGAGUGAUGAAGGUCUUCGGAUCGUAAAACUCUGUUAUUAGGGAAGAACAUAUGUGUAAGUAACUGUGCACAUCUUGACGGUACCUAAUCAGAAAGCCACGGCUAACUACGUGCCAGCAGCCGCGGUAAUACGUAGGUGGCAAGCGUUAUCCGGAAUUAUUGGGCGUAAAGCGCGCGUAGGCGGUUUUUUAAGUCUGAUGUGAAAGCCCACGGCUCAACCGUGGAGGGUCAUUGGAAACUGGAAAACUUGAGUGCAGAAGAGGAAAGUGGAAUUCCAUGUGUAGCGGUGAAAUGCGCAGAGAUAUGGAGGAACACCAGUGGCGAAGGCGACUUUCUGGUCUGUAACUGACGCUGAUGUGCGAAAGCGUGGGGAUCAAACAGGAUUAGAUACCCUGGUAGUCCACGCCGUAAACGAUGAGUGCUAAGUGUUAGGGGGUUUCCGCCCCUUAGUGCUGCAGCUAACGCAUUAAGCACUCCGCCUGGGGAGUACGACCGCAAGGUUGAAACUCAAAGGAAUUGACGGGGACCCGCACAAGCGGUGGAGCAUGUGGUUUAAUUCGAAGCAACGCGAAGAACCUUACCAAAUCUUGACAUCCUUUGACAACUCUAGAGAUAGAGCUUUCCCCUUCGGGGGACAAAGUGACAGGUGGUGCAUGGUUGUCGUCAGCUCGUGUCGUGAGAUGUUGGGUUAAGCCCCGCAACGAGCGCAACCCUUAAGCUUAGUUGCCAUCAUUAAGUUGGGCACUCUAAGUUGACUGCCGGUGACAAACCGGAGGAAGGUGGGGAUGACGUCAAAUCAUCAUGCCCCUUAUGAUUUGGGCUACACACGUGCUACAAUGGACAAUACAAAGGGCAGCGAAACCGUGAGGUCAAGCAAAUCCCAUAAAGUUGUUCUCAGUUCGGAUUGUAGUCUGCAACUCGACUACAUGAAGCUGGAAUCGCUAGUAAUCGUAGAUCAGCAUGCUACGGUGAAUACGUUCCCGGGUCU